rnacentral:rRNA from 1 species
UACGUAGGGGGCAAGCGUUGUCCGGAAUCAUUGGGCGUAAAGAGCGUGUAGGCGGCCAGAUAAGUCCGCUGUGAAAUCUCGAGGCUCAACUUCGAGCUGUCGGUGGAAACUGUCUGGCUAGAGUCCGGAAGAGGAGAAUGGAAUUCCUGGUGUAGCGGUGAAAUGCGCAGAUAUCAGGAAGAACACCCGUGGCGAAGGCGGCAUCCUGGACCGACACUGACACUGAGGAGCGAAAGCCAGGGGAGCAAACGGG